AGAGUUUGAUCAUGGCUCAGGAUGAACGCUAGCGGCAGGCUUAAUACAUGCAAGUCGAGGGGCAGCGCGGGUAGCAAUACCUGGCGGCGACCGGCGCACGGGUGCGUAACACGUAUGCAACUUACCUCAAACUGGGGAAUAGCCCCGAGAAAUCGGGAUUAAUACUCCAUAACAUUGCGAAAUGGCAUCUUUUUGCAAUUAAAGCUCCGGCGGUUUGAGAUGGGCAUGCGCGACAUUAGCUAGUUGGUGAGGUAACGGCUCACCAAGGCUGCGAUGUCUAGGGGUUCUGAGAGGAUGAUCCCCCACACUGGUACUGAGACACGGACCAGACUCCUACGGGAGGCAGCAGUAAGGAAUAUUGGGCAAUGGACGCAAGUCUGACCCUGCCAUGCCGCGUGCAGGAUUGAAGGCCCUAUGGGUUGUAAACUGCUUUUGUACGGGAAAAAAUCCCUGAACGUGUUCGGGGUUGAUGGUACCGUAAGAAUAAGGAUCGGCUAACUCCGUGCCAGCAGCCGCGGUAAUACGGAGGAUCCUAGCGUUAUCCGGAUUCAUUGGGUUUAAAGGGUGCGCAGGCGGAAUGAUAAGUCAGUGGUGAAAUCCUACGGCUCAACUGUAGAACUGCCAUUGAUACUGUCGUUCUUGAGUAUAGCGGAAGUGGGCGGAAUGUGUCAUGUAGCGGUGAAAUGCAUAGAUAUGACACAGAACACCGAUUGCGAAGGC
rnacentral:rRNA from 1 species